rnacentral:piRNA from 1 species
UAAUCCUGGGGCACGGCCUGUUUGU